AGGCUGAGGCACAGUGAGGGUCAGGGGCUUGCCCUGAUCUUUGCAGAGAGGUACCUGGAUUCUCCAUCCUUGUCGUGUCUCUGGUCUUCUCUUGGCUGGGUUUCCUGUUCUGCUUCAUCUGAAGCCAGGAGCUGUGAUCUCUGCAGAGGCUUCCUUGAUUUGCUGAGCUCUCUCCUGACUUCUUCAGCACCAUCUCCUCCCAGGUCUGAUGGGAUUUUGCCUUCUGAGAAACAAGAGAGAUGUGAGAGCCCCAGGGCUAAACCCUUCCAAGUAUCUGGGCACCAUGAUCUAGCAGACAAGUUGGUGAGGGUUAAGGAGUGGGGUGUGAGGAGGUGUGUUCUACCUCUGGGAGGAAUCGCGGCCUGGGAAUGCGGCCCUCGGUCCACUGAAGCGUGCCCAGGUCGCCCUCGACCUCUCGUACAAUCGCCUCAUACUCAGCUCGCAGGCUCUGGAACUGGCGUCGGACCAAGAAGCCCCGGACGCAGGCCUGGUAUGGAGAACGAGAGGAAAGAAGUCCCUUAUCACGGAAAAAUCCUGUGAACCCCGCGCCCGCCCCCGCACCUGCAAUGCAGACACCUUCCGAACCAGCAGCUCUGGCUCCAUGGGCGCCAACUGCCAGGCCCGCCCGCGCGCCUGCGAAGUACGUCAUUGGUCGGCGUCGCUCCUGAGCAUGCGCGGGCGUGGGCUUUGCCCCAGCCGUUCCCACGGCAACCUCCUACCGUCCAGGGUAGAGGCGUCCUGGCGACAGGCGUACCUGCGUCCCCCCAGCCCCCGACUGCCCCUCCCGCACCUGGGGGGCCGCAGAACACCCGCCCGAGUCUGUAAAAAGUCACAGUUUGAAGAGAAUGAGAGGGGCAGUGUGGGCCUGCGUGGGACGCCUACGCAGCGGACUGCUCCUCAGGCUCGGCGUUCUCGGCCAGGUGCAGCUUCUGGCUGUGCCCGUCAAGGAUCGUGGCGCUUUGGACCAGUCCUUCCUCCCACCCCGGUCUCCCAUCUUGCACAGGUUUAGUUCCCUCACCUGUGCAAAGGGCCGGGGACGAGGGUCUCGGGCCGUCUGUGGACUGAGGUUGCAGUCCCCGCCUGCCCUCUCUCACCCCCUCUCUCUUCAUCCAGAUCGUGCAGGUCAGACACACUGGGGUGUGUGCGCGCGCACUCGCGCUGUUUCUGACUGAGGACCAGGUGAGGUGGUAGUGUAAAUUAGUAAAAAUAAUUGUUCAAUGCUGAAAGGAUAGGAGGACAUCGGACAAGCUUUGCUAUGAUUGAUGUCAGCUAAAGUACUCACAAAGAUUUUGAUCAGUAGUAAAACAUCCCCUACAACCACUUUUCUUCUAAUUUUGGGGAAAUUCUAAAUUCCUGU
rnacentral:lncRNA from 1 species